GACGGGGGGGCAAGUGUUCUUCGGAAUGACUAGGCGUAAAGGGCAUGUAGGCGUGAAUUGGGUAUAAGUUAAAGUUGCCAAAAAAUGGUAGAAUGCUCUCGAAACCAAUUCACUUGAGUGAGACAGAGGAUAGUGGAAUUUCGUGUGUAGGGAUGAAAUCCGUAGAUCUAUGAAGGAACACCAAAAAGCGAAGACAGCUCCCUGGGUCCCUACCGACGCUGGGGUGCAAAAAGCAUGGGGGAGCGAAACAGGG
rnacentral:rRNA from 1 species